CCUCUAUGCACAACCCUGCCUGAGGGGGACCGUCUGCUUUACAGAUGACAUGACAUGGUGGAGAAUGGACCUGAGCAGUGCUCCUUCCUCCUGCAUUCUAGCUUGCCUGCAAGAACGGAGACUCCUCAGGGUAAAGAGAGAGGUCUGCGUGAGAGGAUGACCAUGGGAUGCGAUGAGUGUAUCUGUUCCGUGUAGAGACAAGGCUCCAUCUGCACUGUGACAGUCUUAGGAUUUAAGGGAAACGCAGACUGGUCAAUCCCCAAGCUUAAAUUUAGCCCUUAGACCAGAUUUGCACACAUUCCUAUUCCUACCCCAGCCACAUUUUACUUAGGUGCCGGUGACAGUUCUGCAAUGGUGUGAAGGUUAUGCUUUAAAAUAAGUGUAAGAAUAUGUCACAAGUUUAUCUUUGGGCUGUGUAACUGUAUCUAGUGUCCAGUGUUCCUUAUGCAUUUUUUAGACAUUUCAAGAGAGGACCCCACUCUUAAUUUCAAAAACCUUGAUGCUAUUGUACAAUUUUCAUUUGGGGCUAUUAUCCUUGAAGUACAAAGUGGGGACAGCACCUGUUCUACUCCUUAGCCACAUGGGGACUUUUAUGGAGAAAUCCUAUUGAGGAGAGACCCGAGGCUUCAUUGCAAAUCAGAUCCUACAUGAGUCAUUAUUGAUUAUUAGCCAGUAGAGCACUGUAUUUGGGAUAAAAAUUUUUUUGAAGGAAAGGUAAAAACUUUUGUCUUUGAAUCUAUUAGAAACUAGUUACUGAGGGCCCUUGGGGCUUCUCGGAGCCGUUCUUAAUUUAUUCUUUCCAAGAUAUGUUGGCUGUGUUAACAUUGGUCAAUCAUCUUGCGUAGUAAAAUAGGCCACUGACCUGAAAUAAAGUGCUUAAAAUACGUAAAUUCCAUUAAAAAAAAGAAACCCCUAAGACAUUUCACUGUCUCCCCAGAGCUGAGUUCUGCAAAACUAAACCAAAAAUCAAGUCCUAUUCAAGUACAUCGAAGAUGUGGGUUUUUUUUUUUUUUUUUUUUUAAGGGAAA
rnacentral:lncRNA from 1 species